UACGUAGGUGGCAAGCGUUAUCCGGAUUUAUUGGGCGUAAAGGGAACGCAGGCGGUCUUUUAAGUCUGAUGUGAAAGCCUUCGGCUUAACCGGAGUAGUGCAUUGGAAACUGGGAGACUUGAGUGCAGAAGAGGAGAGUGGAACUCCAUGUGUAGCGGUGAAAUGCGCAGAUAUAUGGAAGAACACCAGUGGCGAAAGCGGCUCUCUGGUCUGUAACUGACGCUGAGGGUCGAAAGCGUGGGAAGCAAACAGG
rnacentral:rRNA from 1 species